rnacentral:rRNA from 1 species
AUUGAACGCUGGCGGCAGGCUUAACACAUGCAAGUCGAGCGGAGUGAUGGUGCUUGCACUAUCACUUAGCGGCGGACGGGUGAGUAAUGCUCAGGAAUCUGCCAUUUAGUGGGGGACAACAUUCCGAAAGGAAUGCUAAUACCGCAUACGUCCUACGGGAGAAAGCAGGGGAGCUUCGGACCUUGCGCUAAAUGAUGAGCCUAAGUCGGAUUAGCUAGGUGGUGGGGUAAAGGCCUACCAAGGCGACGGUCUGUAGCGGGUCUGAGAGGAUGAUCCGCCACACUGGGACUGAGACACGGUCCAGACUCCUACGGGAGGCAGCAGUGGGGAAUAUUGGACAAUGGGCGCAAGCCUGAUCCAGCCAUGCCGCGUGUGUGAAGAAGGCCUUCGGGUUGUAAAGCACUUUCAGCGAGGAGGAAGGGUGGUGUGUUAAUAGCACAUCAUUUUGACGUUACUCGCAGAAGAAGCACCGGCUAACUCUGUGCCAGCAGCCGCAGUAAUAC